AAAGUUCAUUGUAGCCGUCGUAGUCUGGACCUCGAGUCAAAAAGCUUAUGUAAUCUUAUGUACGUUUCUCCGAUCCCAGAUUCUGAAAAUCUUAUGAAUAAUAAUAACUGAACUGGAAUUUACUAUGAUGGUUGAAUCAUACGAAUGGGUGGAGAGAGUAAUGAAGGUGAGAUGGGUCAAACUAUGAAGAUGAUGAAAGUGGGAUCGCAAGAGUUGAAACUACAUCAGUGCUUUCGUAUGCAAAGAUUUUGGUAUUGUCUCUAUCAAGGGAACUUGCUUCACAAACAAAGAAGACAAUACAGUCUAUUGGAGCGUGGUGUACAUGCUAUGUCUGGAACACCUGGUCGAGUCUAUGAAAUGAUAAAGAGGGGAAGUUUACAAACCAAGUAUGUUAAAAUUUUGAUUAUUGAUAGAGUAAUGGAGGUGAGAUGCUGAGCAAAGGUUUCAAAGACCACAUUUACGAGACUUACAGAUACAAUGUUCAUGUUUGCUUUAUUCUGCUAUUUUUCCUCAAGAGAUCAUGGAGAUGAUAAACAAGUUUAUGAUGGAUCCUGAGAAAUACUUGUGAAGCGUGAUGGGUUGACUCUUGAAGGUAUCAAACAAUAUUAUGUUGAUGUUGGGAAGAAGAGUGGAGGUUUGAUACACUUUGUGAUCUUUAUAGGACGCUUAUUAUUUAUCAAUCAAGAUACUAUCUUCUGCAACACAAGACAAAAGGUACACGUGUUCUUAAGCUAUCUGGUCUCUCUAUAUCUUAUAUGUCAGAUAGUUGAGUUGCAUUUUUAAAAUGUAUAUAAGGUGGAUUAGCUUACUGAGAAUAUGGGGAGUAGUAACUUUAUAGUAGCAUCAAUGAAUGGAGACAAACGUCAAAAGCGGAGAGAUGAAAUCAUGAACCAGAUCCGGUCUUUUUUUUUUUUUUUUGACACAAA